rnacentral:lncRNA from 1 species
ACUACUCUGACCCACCCUGGAGGAGGAAUUUGGACAACAAGUAAUGUGAGGUUGUCCCUGCUUGUCAUGCUUGCCCUGUGGCCUUGGCCUUAGGGCGGCCCUGGCCCUUUCGCUGCUCACCUGCUGCAGCGCUUUCCCUCCUGCUGAUGCUCUUGCCAACCUGCUGCAGUAGGAUGAGUUCUUGCGGCUGCUGAGUAACUUUUCCUCUGUUUCAGGGAUGAAGCAUGAAAAACAAUGGCAAGAUAAGUGACAAAAUUAAGACAAAUGGAAGUGUUCGUACAGUUAACAGAUUUUUUUCUUCUCAGAUGGAGUUUGGACUUCUUUUGCACAGAUUCUGUUAGAAGGCAGAUUGAAAGUCCUCAACAUGUAUCUGUGCCGAAUGGUUCCUUGCAGCUUGAGACAUCUAAGCAGUCUGUGUUCUUUCUUUGAUCGAAACUUUAUUUUUUUAAAUUUCAGUUAUUUUUGUGUGGGUAAGGAGGGAGGGAGAGCAUAUCUUAGGGGAGAGGAGAAAGACUUCUUUGUGUCUACCCUUUAUAGGUCUCUCUUGCCUAAGUUUGUAAGCUUGCCCCAUAUUCACUUCUAGUUUAGCCAGUAAACCCAGUUCCUAGAAAGUCUUUCUGAUGGGGAGAGUUAGAUGGGUAUUAUGUUUGGGGCCCUACAAGACCACGUCGUCUGUUGGGUUAAUUCUGGGCCUUGCUUUUGGUUUGUGUUUAUUUUCUUUUUAAAUAAUCCUGCAGAGUGCUUUUACAUCUUGUUUCUCCUAACUGUGGGAUUGAUUUGAGAUUUUUGACUGAGAUUUUAGAUAGCUUUUCUCACAGGAAAUGCAAAACCCUGAUGUUGAUGUAAGGGUUUAUGUUUGGGGAGAGGUGCAUGUGCGAAUGAUUGUAAGACCAACAAAUGUGCUCUUCUGAUUUCAUUUGGAUUCCAUAUGUUUUUCAGGAGGAAAGGUUGCCAGCUCAUUCUCAAUUUCCUGGAUUUCUCGCCUGUAACAGUGAAAAAGAUCAGCAGGUAACUGCUCAUAGUUUAUCACAGUACCAAAAUGUAUACUGGAUGAACUUCAACCACUUGUUUGAAUCAAGGCUAAGGAGGAAGCCAGACUUCAGAACACUGAAUAAACCCCAGAAGAAAGUAUCAUUUCAGGAACCUGGUUGGGCCUAGGCAGUCUCAUCAUUCUUCAGUUUUAAUCUUUG